UUUUAUUUUGCCGAUGUUUUUUUUUUAAUAAGACGCAUCAUGGAGUGCAUCAAAUUGACAUUAUUAGUACGAAGAUAUUGUUAGAUUUUAUACCUGAAUAUGCGCACAGAGUAAACUUUAUUUUCACUUCUGUAAAACAUAUACAGACCUUUACAAACUAUUCGACUAACAAUGAUAAUGGGAAACAAAAUAGACAUUAUUGUAUUUUAUGACUUUACGAGCUAUGAAAGAUAAAGAAAUAAUUACAAAAGGACUUUCGUUUAAUACGUAAGUACAUUUAAAAAACAAAACCUUUUGUGUGUGUGGCGUGAAUUUAUUACAGCGGAUAAUAAACUAAUUUUACAGUAUUAUCUCGUUAUAUUCACUGCUCUAGUUCGUAGUAAUCCAAGCAUGAUUCAUUGUUACGUAAAUAUAUUAAUCCCGCAUCCAAAGGUCCCUUGAGAUGUCCGCAAUAAUAAACACAACAGGUGUUAUGUACCUCGUGAUUUAUUAUUAUUAUUAAGUACUCUAUUGGUAAAAUGCUGAAUAUUUAUGCUGAAAAAAUGAAGUCUUACAAUAAAUGAGAUAUUUCCAUACCCUUAAAAACGGAUAUCAUUGCGUAAAUUGUUAAUUAAUAAUCUGUUAUCAUCUGAUGUCAUUUUGCCAUUACUACCUAUAGGUAAAAUAUGGGGGUGUUGGGUUUAAGAAAAAAAGAAUUACCGUGUAAUCCAUAAAAAACAGCUACAGUAUCACAUAAUUUUGGAUCGUAUGUAAUACAUAGUAUCGUGUCUAGUUCUGUAACACAAAUAUUAGUUAUAUGGCUUGUAGCUGUGGUGAAAACUUUAAUUCUGAAUUGUUUCAAUUUUUCAUACAUGUUUGAAUUAAUUACUUUCGCCCACUUUCAACAACUUUCAUUUAUUCUUGACUGGAUUCUCUCAAUAUUGACUGGAUUCGACCGGUUGAAUAUUCCGCGAUCGAGAUUUUUCUGGAGUACCCAUCGCGACUUCCGCUUCCAGGCUUUCGCCGUACCUACUAGAAAGCCCUCGAGAAAACCCAUAGGCGUUGUAUGGCUUUAUUUCGUAACAAUAUGAGCAUAAUGGGACAACAGUAUCGAUUUGAAAAGGAUUAGCAAGACAAGUAUUCAGUAUUUCUUAAAGAUAUAGCUGAGAAUGCGGUCAAAUGAAUAGCGGUGAAUUCCAAGGUUGGAAAAGUCCCCCUAAAUCAAACACAAAAUAUGGAAGACACAAACAAAAUUAAAUCAAAUGUCCCGAAUCAAUGCACAAAAAAAAGAAAUCGUCAUUAGAGUAAAUGGAUACAAAUACUCAAGUUAUUACGGCGCUGUGACGGCGAAUUUAAACGGAAUUUUAGUUCGUGACAGUGGGCAGUCUGUCACCGUUCCUUGACGAUUAUCCGCAGCUGUUGGCACACACCACAUUUCUAUGCCUAAAAAACCUGCCACAUAUUAUACUCUUUACCAGGUCUUUACAAACUAGCCAGCUAUUUAUACCAAGCUGCGUUUCACGUGGGUUUCUCCGUGAAGUUUACAGUUAAAAAUCCAUUUGGGAAAAUGGCAAAAACCGCAAAUUUUACUAAGUAGAAAUACUUACAAGAUGAGGUAAGCAACAUUUGAUUACGCAUUACUCCGAGUUAUUGAUUAAAUCAAAAUCAGUGCAUCAAUUACAUUAAAACAAAGCACAUAUGAAAUAAACACAGCAGAGAAAUAUCAAUGGUGGUUCUGGUGCGCAUCGCAGCAAUAGCGUGUUCAAAUUCCGCUUGUCGAACGGUAAUAUACAAACAACAUCACACAGCAAGCACAAAUUAAACCCAACAUACUCCGGGCCAAUGAUGACAUUUACUUGUCUAAUUAAACUUUCAAGCUCCUUUCUCUUAAACAGGAUCAACAUUUAAAAUUGGUUUACAUGCCAUAAA